UCGAGCAGACUCGAGCUCCGGACUUUGGGAACGCAAGGUGUCCGAAGGCUGUCCUCGCGCCUCGCCCGCUUCGAGUCCGCCGCCGCCGCCGCCGUCGCCGCCGCGCUCGAUCGCGCGACAGUCCCUUCCGGGAGCAGCGUCAGGCCAGAGGGAACCACCGGGAGUCGGGCGGCGUCCGGCAUCGAGCAGUACCGAGCCGAGCCACCAUGGACAAGAAGGCCGAGCAGUAUUACUCCCCCCCGCCGGAGCUCGGCAAGUGGGAGGGCUUCAGGGUGUUCCUGUGGAACUCGGAGACGGGUCAGGUCCUGGGCCGCACGGGCGCUAGCUGGGCGAAAAUCCUGCUGUUCUACGUAAUUUUCUAUGCGGUUCUCUGCGGCUUCUUCGGGGCCAUGCUGGCCGUUUUCUACCAGACGCUGGACCCGAAUUCACCAAAAUGGCAGUUGGAAGGUUCGCUCAUCGGCAACAAUCCUGGCCUCGGUUUCCGCCCGAUGCCGCCCGAGAGCAACGUCGAGAGCACCCUCAUCUGGUACAAGUCCACCGACGAGGGAAACUACCUCCACUGGACGAAAGGCCUCGACCAGUUCCUUCAGUCAUACGAGAAGACGGGAAAUGCCCCGAACGGCGCCGAGACGAGAGUGAUCUGCGACUAUGAGAGACCACCGCCUCCGGGGAAGGUCUGCGACGUGGAGAUCGACCAAUGGCACCCUUGCACCAAGUCGAACAAGUACAACUACCACAAGGCAGCGCCCUGCAUUUUCCUAAAAUUGAACAAGAUCUUCGGGUGGAAGCCAUUGUUCUUCAACGACACGGAGACCCUGCCCUCCAACAUGCCCGACGACUUGAAGGCGCACAUUGCGAACGAGAGGUCGCGAAACAUUAAGGCCGUGGACACGGUCUGGGUCUCCUGCGAGGGCGAGAACCCUGCUGAUGUCGAGAACAUCGGACCUAUCCAAUACAUACCACGUCGUGGAUUCCCCGGAUACUACUUCCCGUUCUCGAACACUCCGGGAUACUUGAGCCCUCUCGUCGCGGUCUUCUUCGAGAAACCCAAGUACGGCGUGUUGAUCAACAUCGAAUGCAAGGCCUGGGCGCACAACAUCAUUCACGACAGAUUCGAGAGGCGCGGGUCCGUGCACUUCGAGCUGAUGGUGGACUAAAUCGGCAGAGCAGCCGAGCCCUCAAGACCACUACCAACCGUCUCGUAUUCGUCAUCUCCGAGAGAAGAUCAUCGUCAGCUUUGGCGAACGGAGCGAUCGCGGCUACCCCCUGCACCUCGUCGAUCCUUUCGCUGAAUCGUCCUCAUCGUCCGCGUUUCACCGCCGCGAAGCGUCGCCGCUUCGUCCUCGUCAUCACUUCGUCGUUUGGUCCCUAAGAUAAUAUAUACAUAACAGACAAAAAAAUAUAUAUUAAUAACGAAGGCGCGCACGACCCCGAGGGUGAUCCUGGUAGAUCCUGGCCGCGAGAGGAAGGUCCUCGUCCGGAUGAAUCAGGGAUUCCUCUCCAGGGUGUCCGAGGUGCUCUCGCAGGAUGCGCGUCCACGGGACUCGACGAUCAGUUUCGUUUCGCCCUUCGAUCUCUUGGUUCUUAACUGGAAAAAAAAAACAACAACAAAUCACCUUCCAUUACGAGGCGAAAAAACGCGCGCUCCGAGCCGAGGGCCAGCUCGACGAGUCUCGUCCACGAGGGGAAGGUCCUCGAAAGGAGGUCUUUUCGCGGCGUUUCUCGAUCCUUUCCAUCGUGGACGUGCGUUUCGAAAAAAAUCGGCCAUCCACAUAGUCACCUGGUCCGCGAGAGGACGCAACGAGGAAGGUAGCUGUCCCGCGUCUCCCACUUUUACCUGGUUUCGUUGUUUAAUAAGUGUGCCGAGUUCCGUUCGUAAAAUACGAUUUCUUUCAAUGCUACCGGACGACUGAUGGAUCGUGCGAUCCUUCUCGUUGAGUUCUUUGCAUCCCCACACGUUAGACGUCGGAUAUCCGACAUCCUUCCGCCGGAUAUACGUGCGAACGUGGAUGCAUUUUCUCGUGAGCCUCGUGAUUGGAUAUCCGAUGCCGGAUGCGUGAUGGAAGCUAGCCGGUGACGAACCGAAGGGAUGGAAGGACCUUCCUCGGAAGGACCUCGGAGGGAAGUCCUUGCAGGUUCGGGAAUUGGCUUGGGCACCCGCAACACCUCGACACACCUCGGAAAGCACAAAAUUCCCAGACCCAGAGGAAAGACCCGCACAAAGGAGCGUCGGGGUCGCCGUCAUCGGGACGCAGGUCCCGAAGAUGGCGACCUCCAAGAGGCUUCACCAGGAAAGGACCCCGUAAGCCUGGUUUCACCCGUGCAGGGAGAAGCCGCUGCAUCGGGUAUCCGAUCGCUACCAAGCUGUUACGCGGCCUUUGACUUUUACCGGGUUUAUCGUUUGAGGUGUGCGCUAUGUAUAGUUUUUAAUCAUUUCUUCGAUGCGCCAAGUUAGUUCGACCGAGUCUACGGCGUUCAAUGAUGCCGGACGACUGACGGAUGGAUCGCGUGAGAGCUCUCGUUUGAGUUCUUACGUCUCUAUACGGAUAUCCGAGGUCUACCGAACGCACGCGUGAACGCAUCUAUUGCGGUCUACGUAUUAGUCCCAUGUACCUCGCGAUCAAAUCUUCGAUUCUUACGAAGCGUGCCAGUUAACUUCGUACCAAUGAAUUGUUCAAUGCUGCCGCACGACUGAUGGACGAAUCGGGUAAACUCUCUCUCAUUUGACUUCUUACAUCUCGAUACGGAUAUCCGGCGUCUAUGGAACGUACGCGUAAACGCAUCCGUGCGGUCCCGUGUACCUCGCGAUCGGAUAUCCGACGCAGGGCGGAUUCGUCCGGCAAGGGGGAAACCAGGCUAACACUCGCGGUUACCGCUGAAGCACUUUUUUUAGGCAGACCAGGGGGUAGGGAUAUUGGUGUCGGGAUCGAGAGACACCCCGUAGAUGUUCAUGCCACGCGUAGGUUAGUCCUCUAGAGACGUUGCCCGGGUCGCUCGGGAUUCGCUUGACCGGAGGAGGGCUGCGAGGGCGGGGAUUGCGCGUCGAAACGAGGCAAUGCCGAGAGGGAGAGCAAACGAAUCAAGACGGUGAGAGUGAGAGCGAGAUAAAAACGCGCGGUAUAUAUGCGAGUGAAUGAGAGACCGACCGGGAGCGAGCGAGAACGAGCGAUGGAACGCAUGGGAGAGCGAGAGGGACCGACCGAUAGGCUGCGAGAUUCGUAGAUAACGAGCGAGCGAGAGAUUCUCAGAUGCACGCUGCUUGGCAGAAGAUCAAACCACGUCGCGUAAUGCGUACGCAAUGUGUACGCGAUGCACGUAAUUUACGCGCUUAGUGAUGUCUACGCAAUGACGGCCGCGCUUGGCCGUGGGCGAGGGCGAGAUUCUUCGGAGGGGACGAGACGCUGGAAGACUGAUCCCCUUAAAAAAUUCAGGAUGGCGCCCGGGAUACGGAAACGCGGUUUCCCGAAAGGGGCGAAGAAACGCCCCGAAUGGGAAUUUGAAAGGGCCUGGUAGCGUUCGUUACCGCGAAUUCGGGUGCUUUUCUCUCGAAUUGGUCCAGAGGGUUUUCGUAUCUCGGAGUUGCGAGCUUUUUUCGAGGACGCACCUCCGGUGGGUGUCGUCUCGUCACCUCGAAGAGCGCUCCAGAGCGGUCGGCGCUGACUCGCCCGGGUGUUCGAGGCGUACUUAACUUAAGUUUUAAGAAUUCAUUCGAGGCUCGCACUUAAGGAGGAACGAGACGAAGCCUGCCUAGAAGAAUAUCCGUAUGACGUUAUACGAACUACUUACGAUUGUACUGUACCGCAUUACUAUAUAUAUAAAUAUAUACAUAGGGUGUAUACUGGCGUACGUGCACGCGAAUGUAUACACGGGGUGUAAAGUUACAGGUGAAAUGACUGGGGGAAUCAGAGGCACUCGGGAGGUAAAUGCAGGAAACGGGCGAGAGAGAAACAAAAACACCGACGACAUGUUCGGGUACACGCGGCCACGCAGUCGUACUUAUUAUAGUCGGUAGGUAAUUCCAUUAUGUGGCCUACGGGCUAUGCGUGGUUCGUGAUUCGCGAUUCGUGGGGCGUCUUUGGAAAAGUUGAGGUACUCGAGGGGACAUUACUUUUUCCAUAGACAUGACGCAUGGGGUCAUGGACUCGUCGUCCAGUUCAUUGUGCUUCGGUUCGGCGCGAACUACUCAUCGGCGAUCGUGAUCAAUCGGCUUGCCAUAAGUCGUCAUAAAUCGCCAGAAAUCCCGAACCGUAUAAUGCCAGUUCAGCGGGAAUUCAUUCAAGAAUCACAAUUUACGAAUCAGCGAGAAGCCAGUUCGUCGCAUCGACGAACUCGCACGAACUGGCGUGCCACGAAUUUCUAAUCACAAGCUACGGAUAGUCCGUAGCGGCCUUUAGAGGCGAUUUUUCGAGGGGAGGAGAGCUCGCUCGACGCCGGGUUUCGGCGAGCGCCGCGACGUCGCCUCCUCGUCGGGUUCCGGAGAGCGGGUCGUCGGAUCGAUCAGCUGAUCUCGCGCGAUAGUACAAACGCCGGUCCCGGGGGUCGUCGGCCGGCUCCUCGUCGAGACCCGAUCGAUCGAUACCCAUCGAUCGACGUAACGAGAACGAUAAUAAUUCGAUCCCGGCCAUGCCUGGGGACAUGUUAAACUUAAAGAUUAGAAAGGAUCACCGAUGACACUAAUAAAGAACACGCGUUAACGGCAUAACGUGUACAGGCUGUCCCGGAACGACUCUGCCGCACCUCGGCGGUGCACUCUGCGAUAGGUUAUGAAAAACUAACAUCGCUAUCGUAACAACGUCAUGCUCAUCACUGACGGAUUCGUUCCGACAAAGCGCUCUCGUGUUCAUAAGUGUAUAACGUUGUUCCCUCGUUUCCGGAAGUGGAGUGCGUUACCCAGGUCUGGCCGCCGCUUUCUGGGACGCCCUGUAUAGAUAUAUUAUUAUUAAAAAUAAAAGGUAUAUAUAUAUGCAUAUAUAUAUACACAUCUGUAACCUGUAACUAGAGCAAAGUGAUUAUAUUCAUCAUUAUAGAUGAGCUGUUUCUAUAAUGGAUAUCUAAUGUUGUUAAAGUGUGAAGUGCGAGGGAGGGAGAGAAAGGGUUAAACGGUGACUGCGACGAGAGAAUGGACGGCUGUUUUGUGCGCGUGUAAGUGUGUGCGGGUGCCCGAGUGAAAUGUACUUAACGACCGAUUAAUUAAUAAAUCGCCGAUGCGAUUCCGAUGGUCGCGCUUAAAGCGUCGAACAUGGCGAGACCCAAUGCGCACCGUCGAGGAAACGGCUCGCCGACUUUGACGUUACGUAUACGUUAAUGUGCGGAUUGACUGCGAAAAUGACGCCGUAAAGACGGGCCGUAAGUGUGAACCAGGACUUUCGGUAACCGGGAGUCACUCAAAAGCUCCGAUCACUGAACAAAGGGAAUAAAGGACUUCGAUGCGAAAAGCUGAUGUGAACUUUUGCGCGGUCGAGGUAGCGAACGACGUUUCUUCGGGUGUGCAAAAGUUAAGUGGAAAAUUCGCUGAUGUCGAAGGAUGCACGUUUUCUAGCGUAAUUUGAGACUAGGAGGGUUUAACCACUUUUUUAAUUAUUUUCGAAGCACUUUUCCAUGCCGGUCGAAAAGUCCUCUUGGGUGCCAAGGUGCCGCCAUGUUUGAAGGAACAGUUUCAUCGGAGCUUGUCGGUGGUACCUGGAUGAGGAAGGUCCUGGGAGAUCCUGCGGUGGGAUCGCAUUAAUUGUACGUUCGAUACCUCCUUGCUCGCCUUGAUGCUCGAGCAAGGAUUACGUCGAAGGACGAGCCGCGAGGUCCUCGGAGGAGCGCGAAUAGUUUUCCUAGUCACACGAACCCACGCGAAGCGAGGAGUCCCGCGAAAAACCGCAAAAGUGGAAUAGAAAGCGCACUAAGAGGUAAAAAGAGCUGGUCGUUGCGCCUCGAAACGCUUCAAGGAGGGACGACCAGCGAAAAAUCUUACCAGGCGCUAUAUAACACCGCGUUAUAGGGGAUCGCGUUAUAAGUCGUCGGGUUAUAACGUGUAACGUAAUAAAGUACCGCGUUAUAAAUCGUCGCGUUGUAGAACGGCGCGUUAUCGAGCACCGCGUUAUAAAUCGUCGGGUUAUAACGCGUAACGUAAUAAAGCGCCGCGUUGUAGAACGUCGUGUCGUAGAGCGCCGCGUUGUAGAACGUCACGUUACAAAACGUCGUGUUAUAGAUCACCGCGUUGUAGAACGCCGCAUUACAGAACGUCCCGUCAUAGAGUGCCGCGUUACAGAACGUCGCAUUAUAAAACGUCGGGUUAAAAAAAAGAAAACAAAAAACGUUAUGAAGCGCUGCGUUAUGGAACGUCAUUAUAUAGCACCGCGUUAUAAAACGUCAAGUUAUAGAGCGCCACGUUAUAAAACGUCAUAUCGGAGAUCGCCGCGUUACAGGACGUCACGUUAUAAAACGCCGCAUUACAGAACGUCGCGUUACAGACCGCCGCGUUAUAAAACGUGUUAUAGAACUAUGCGUUAAAGGACGUCACGUUAUAGAGCGCCGCGUUAUACAACGUCUCGUUAUCGGUCGCCGCGUUAUCGGCCGUCGCGUAUCGAAACGUGGCGUUAUAGAGCGCCGCGUUAUAAAACGUCGCGUUAUCGGCCGCCGCGUAUCGAAACGUGGCGUUAUAGGUCGCCGCGUUAUCGAGGUCGCGAGUGGACGUCGGGAAGGAAGUCCUUCGAGGCGAUUCGCUCGUCUUUAUUCCGCAGCCUCGGUCGCUCUACCCGAGGGCGUAGUUCCAGUUUCGAUUUCGAGAGUCCAGUUUCGCUCAGGCGAGUCAACGCUACCGUAGACCUCGCUCGAUCUCGCGGCCCGGAUCGGACCGUUCGCGCGGGGCGCGACAUCGCGCGAGGACACUUUAUGCUGCCAUUAUUGUGUGUCCGCUUCAGUGGUGGGAGAUAUCCGGACGCGGUUCUCCGUAUUUAGCGUUUGUAUCUAGGCACUCCUUCGAUCGUCGUCCGUCUCGCGCCUGUCGACACCGCACGCCGCCCCCUCGAUCAAGUGAGGAGGGCAGCUCCCCCGUGGCGAGGCCCACCACCGAAGUACGUAGAAACUGCCAGGCGAUAUCGUAAUCGACCCCCGGCGAGGCGCGACCGGCCCGGGUGGCGAGGCCAGUCCUCCUCGAGGCAUCGCGCGAGGAGGUCGGGUCGCGCGCGUGCUGUCCGCACCCGAGCCAAACAAUUCGAACGCUCUAUAAAAGCCCAGAUCAUUUUUCUUCAUUUAUCCCGAUCACUUGUAACACAUACUAGAGGCGUCAUUUCUGUCAAACUCUCUGCAAACGAUGAUUCGACGCAAACUAAACUUUUAGUGCGCCGAUAGUACGCGUACUAAAAGAUUCAUUCCGAGAGUUUGAUACGAAGUACCACUUUAGGACGCGUACCGAGUGAUCGGUGUGUGCUAAGCGUAUGUUGGCGUUUGAUGCUUCAUAUGUUGGCAACCAGGAUGGAUCGGUAUUAAGGUGUUCAAUCUGAAAUUGCGGACUUUACUGUCAAAGAAGACGAUAAAAUCCGCAAAUUUGGUGAACUGGGGUUAACAAAAUUGGUAUCUUCGGUUUACAUGGCGCUAUCCUUGUUGACCCUGGAAUGGAAAAAUCUUAUAUACUAGUUUUACAGUGAAUAAUUUAUCAGUAAUAAUACAUUGAAAUAUAGACGAGCAGCGUUCGUUAUCGGAACAAAUACCGCGUACACGCGCACGAUUUAACGGCGUGGUAUUCGGCACGUGUUUCGCUAAUUGUCUCACCUGAUUGGUUGUAUUUCAGUUGAUUCUUACAGGAAAACCAUGCACUGUAGACAAAAAUGGUAUGAGACCUUUCUACCCCAUUUCCAGCAAGUCCGGGUAAAUCGUGGCCACUGGUUUUGUAACACCCGGUAGAAGAACCUAAUAAACAAGAGAACACAUGUGUUAUACAACGGAAUCUCACUUAUGAGAGAAAAUCGUAUUGAAUAGUGGGUACCGCGAGUAAGACAAAGAGCACGUGCAACCUGUAUGAUUGUCGUAAGAGUGGGAUGGAGAGACCAUUGGAGCGUCGCCAUUUGUUCAUUGCUGUGCUAAUUAUCGAACUUGGUCUAACGUUCGCGUUUUCUUGGGCUUUUAUGGAAAUUUCCGAAUUAUUUGUUCGCCCAAGCGGGUGCGCCCUCGCACUUCGGGUCGGUUUCCUUUCGCGCGUCCACGUGGGCACACUGUUAAGCGUUAUCUAACCCAUCACUGAUAUCCGAGUGGAAAAGGCGAUGCUUUCGACGCGUUUGCUCUGUGCGGAAUCGUAGUCUGACUUAGUACUAGCUCCAUUACCAAUCACUGUUGGUAUGACGAAUAAACGAUGUUUCCAUCGAAACGAAUCCAGCUCUGUAUGUGCGACAUACGUAGCACUCUAGUCCUUAAUUAAAUUGCGUACUUGUAGUACUUAUACACGACCGGGAACACGCGCGCUUCGGCGAGCACAGCGUUUAAGGCGGUAUGAAAGUGGUUGUUGAGAAGUCGAUCAGAUAUGAAUUUUCUCCAAACUGGACACGUAGAAUAGUUUGAAACUUUACCACGUGAACAUGGAUGCCAUAAGGAAGGUCUCGACACCCACGAGAUUCCUCUUUUACAUUUGCUUGUAGACAUUUUCUUUUUAAUUUUCGUAAAGAAAAUGUAAUUUCACGGGUAUCGAGACCUUCCUUAUUGCAUCUAUGCUCACGUGGUAUGAUUUCAAACGAUUCGGCACAUCCAUGUUCAGGGAUAAAUGACAAUUUGAUACCUGAGAUGCCACUUUCAUAUCAUCUUUGAAGGGCCAUCGGGUGUGAUUAGGGAGGCUUAGCGAUUCCGCUGCUUUCCGAGGAUGCGAGCCGCGAAUCGGUGGCCCUGACUUCGUUAGUUCCUCAGAACCGAUUUUUCUGGUUACCGUUGUCAGCGUAGCGAUUAUUAAUUCGUAUACAGUCGAUACUCUCGAAAGCCGCGUACUCUCACCCCGACGACAUUGUCACGGGCACGACGGUGCCGAAAGACGUCACCGAACACACGAUGUUGCUUCUCACGGAGUAAAUAAGAGAGACACGUUUCAGACCCACGCGCAAGCUGAUGUCGAGUUUCACAAUGCCGAAGGCGUAUUUAGCACCGAGUGACGAGACGUGUAAGUAUUUUUACUUUUGCUUUUCAAUUUGGUUAGCCCAUAAAACCAUCUCGGAAUU
rnacentral:misc_RNA from 1 species